rnacentral:rRNA from 1 species
ACAUAUUUUAGAGCCUAAUUCAUCUUGAUUAACAAUCAAAAUUACAUUCAAAUCCAAAUUUAAAAUUUUAAUGCUAAAAUUUUUCCUCAAAUAAAUUUAUUGUAAUCCAUCUCUACUUUUUUAAGCUGCACCUUGAUCUGAUUUUCAAUUUAAUAAAAUAUUUCAAUUAUAUAUUUCCAAAAAUAAUUUUUAACGACGAUAUACAAGCAAAAAUAAAGUUUUAUUAAUCGUGGAUUAUCGAUUACAGGACAGAUUCCCCUGAUUGGAAUAAAAAACCGCCAAAUUUUUUGAUUUUAAAGAACAUAACUUUUAUUAGUCAAGUCUUGAUAUAUUUACAUCUAGAAUAAUGGGGUAUCUAAUCCCAGUCUAACUACUAGAUUUCUUAACUUCACAAUCAAAAAUUUAAUUUAAUGAAAAAUAAGAUUUCACCCAAUAUUUUCCAAAAUAAAAAUUAAUUUCUAUUAAUUAAGUAUAAAAACUGUUUUAAAAUAGUAGCAUUAUUUGUUUAACCGCA